CAAAGGAGGCGACUCCGGAGGCGGAUGGGCAUGCGUGACAUUAGCUUGUUGGCGGGGUAACGGCCCACCAAGGCGACGAUGUCUAGGGGUUCUGAGAGGAAGGUCCCCCACACUGGUACUGAGACACGGACCAGACUCCUACGGGAGGCAGCAGUGAGGAAUAUUGGUCAAUGGGCGAGAGCCUGAACCAGCCAAGUCGCGUGAAGGAUGACGGCCCUACGGGUUGUAAACUUCUUUUGUCAGGGAGCAAUUGGGUCCACGUGUGGGCUUAGCGAGAGUACCUGAAGAAAAAGCAUCGGCUAACUCCGUGCCAGCAGCCGCGGUAAUACGGAGGAUGCGAGCGUUAUCCGGAUUUAUUGGGUUUAAAGGGUGCGUAGGCGGAAUAUCAAGUCAGCGGUAAAAAUUCGGGGCUCAACCCCGUCGUGCCGUUGAAACUGAUGUUCUUGAGUGGGCGAGAAGUAUGCGGAAUGCGUGGUGUAGCGGUGAAAUGCAUAGAUAUCACGCAGAACUCCGAUUGCGAAGGCAGCAUACCGGCGCCCAACUGACGCUGAAGCACGAAAGCGUGGGUAUCGAACAGGAUUAGAUACCCUGGUAGUCCACGCAGUAAACGAUGAAUGCUAAUUGUCCGGAGGGAUUGACCUCUGG
rnacentral:rRNA from 1 species